AUGUGUGAGGGCGAUCCUGGCUUGCGUCAGUCUGUCACCCCAUUGAUCUGCCAGGGUUGAUUCGGCCUGAUCUGGCUGGCUAGGCGGGUGGUCCCUGUCCUCCCUCACGCGCUCCAGUGCGCCCUCCCGAACGCUGCCGCCGCCUCGUCCGAAAGAGGCGAACCAAUCCCAGAUAGAGGAGGAACCGUUCUUCGGUCAAGGGAAUACGAGUAGCUGGCGCUCCCUGCUAGAAACCUCCAAACAAGGCCCCCAAGAAGAAAUUGCAAAUUGAGGUAUAUCCUUCCUUUCUCCUUAGGACAAAUACAGAGCUUAAAAAUUAAAAUAUUACCUCAAAAAUUAAAAUAUUAUUUUU
rnacentral:snRNA from 1 species